rnacentral:rRNA from 1 species
UUGWUCAUGGCUCAGAUUGAACGCUGGCGGAAUGCUUUACACAUGCAAGUCGAACGGCAGCACGGACUUCGGUCUGGUGGCGAGUGGCGAACGGGUGAGUAAUGUAUCGGAACGUAUCCAGUAAUGGGGGAUAACUAAUCGAAAGGUUGGCUAAUACCGCAUACGCCCUACGGGGGAAAGCAGGGGAUCUUCGGACCUUGCGUUAAUGGAGCGGCCGAUAUCUGAUUAGCUAGUUGGUGAGGUAAGAGCUCACCAAGGCGACGAUCAGUAGCUGGUCUGAGAGGACGACCAGCCACACUGGAACUGAGACACGGUCCAGACUCCUACGGGAGGCAGCAGUGGGGAAUUUUGGACAAUGGGCGCAAGCCUGAUCCAGCCAUUCCGCGUGAGUGAAGAAGGCCUUCGGGUUGUAAAGCUCUUUCGCAAGGGAAGAAACGAUGCAGACGAAUAAUCUGUGUUAAUGACGGUACCUUGAUAAGAAGCACCGGCUAACUACGUGCCAGCAGCCGCGGUAAUACGUAGGGUGCAAGCGUUAAUCGGAAUUACUGGGCGUAAAGCGUGCGCA